CCUACGGGAGGCAGCAGUCGAGAAUCAUUCACAAUGGGGGAAACUCUGAUGGUGCGAAGCCGCGUGCGGGAAUGAAGGUCUUCGGAUUGUAAACUCCUGUCAUGUGGGAGCAAAUUAAAAAGAUAGUACCACAAUAGGAGUAGACGGCUAACUCCGUGCCAGGAGCCGCGGUAAUACGGAGGGGGCGAGCGUUAAUCGGAAGUACUGGGCGUAAGGCGCUGGUAGUCGGUAUGUAAAGCUAAGGGUGAAAUCCCGGCGCGUAACGGGUGAACUGCCUUGGUAACUGUCAAACUGGAGUGUGAGAGAGGAUAGUGGAAUUCCAGGUGUAGGAGGGAAAUGCGUAGAUAUCAGGAGGAACACCAGUGGCGAAGGCGACUAUCUGGCACAUAACUGACGCUGAGGAGCGAAAGCGUGGGUAGCAAACAGGAUUAGAUACCCGGGUAGUC
rnacentral:rRNA from 1 species